UUGGCUCAGGGCUGUGAACUUUCCUGCUUAUUUAUAUACAAGCAAAGCAAACUGCUUCAACUGGACUUGUUUGGACAAGGACGCUAAACACAAGAGGAGCAGCCCCGAAACUCCGUCACUUGCCUUUGUCACCCCCUGGGCAGGGAGCGGGGUGGGGGCGGACCACAGUGACCCCCAGCCACACUCACUUUUCCCUGGACAGCCUUCUCCAGCAAAUCACCAUCAUGCCUCCCUGAAGCCCUGGGAACGGGCACACAGAAGUGGCAGAGGAGAUGGGGGUCACAAGGCAGUCAGGACUCCAGCCUUGAACUUCUCUCAGAUCUCCCCACCCUCCGUGGGUGCUGCUUAAGGUCAUAAGAACCUCCCCCUCCAAGGCCCCACGCACAUGGUGCCCUCAUGUGGAGGGGUGAAGAUUGGCAGGCACAGGUCUACAGGUGCUGAUGUGGGUGAGGCAUUUGUUGGAAACACUUCCCAAGGCGUCUUGAUUUUAUCACCAACAUUGUAACCGUCUUAAUUAAUGCUCGCUGCACCGCAGAAGACAAACCUGUAUUCCUUUGCCAUGCAGGCCGUGGGUCACCCUGUACCGUAGAUUUGCCCUAUCUGUGACUCUGUCUACACAGCCAAAGAGGCAAGCCCGCCCAGUGUCCCAGAAGGGUCCUAGGGUCUGCUCCCCAUCUGUGGCUACAGCAUCUCCUCUUGACCUUGGCCAUACACAUGAAUACCCUGGAAAGCUUUGCAAAAUGCCAGCAGCUGGUAACAGCCCAACAAUUCCAAGGCUGCAGCUUGGUUGUCGGCGGAGUUUCUAGACACCUUGGGGCAGUGCCAACAUGCAGCCACGGUCAGAAGCGUUGAUUCUAACCCUCCCCUGAACCAAAGGCUUUGAAUUGCAGCUGUUCUCAGAUUGGGAAGGCGGGAAUUAUGAUUCUUUGAGUGAGAUUUCUUUGCCUUUGCAGCCAUCCAGAGAAGCAAGAAGCUCCCAUGGCUCUCCCAGGAGCCCCUCUGCCCAGCUCCUGCACAACCAUGCCCGGCCACCAGCCAGUGCUCCCGCAGCUGUCAAUUCUAUGUACUCACUGCCACCUAUUAGGCAGGGGAGACGCCUGGUACAACACAGCAGCAGAGUGCUGGAGCCCAGGGAACACACACCUUUGUUUUUUGUUUGUUUGGUUUUGUUUUUGACAGGCAGAGUUAGACAGUGGGAGAGACAGAGAGAAAGGUCUUCCUUCCAUUGGUUCACCCCCUAAACGGCCGCUAUGGUCGGCGUGCUGCACCGAUCCGAAGCCAGUAGCCAGGAACUUCCUCCUGGUCUCCCAUGCGGAUGCAGGGCCCAAGGACCUGGGCCAUCCUCCACUGCACUCCCUGGCCACAGCAGAGAGCUGGCCUGGAAGAGGGGCAACUGGGAC
rnacentral:lncRNA from 1 species